AACUUGUAUGCAGUUCCCAACUGCACAUGGAAGAAAAUGAAGCCCAAUCUGGCCUUCAGGUUACUACAAGACCUUGAAAGAAGCCUGAGGUGGGUGAAGAAAUGUAGAAAAAUUAACUUACAAGGUAAAACACCUGAUUGGCUGAGUAAACAUUAUUGUCAAACACUUUGAGAACUCUAUGAUUUAUAAAACUAGUACUUACAGAAGAGUUAUUUGCAAUUAUGCUAUGCCAGCAAUGGUUGAUUUUACUGGUCAUCUGAACAAUCCACAUGGUGGACAUUGAAAAUAAAUAAGAUAAUUGUGAUAAUUAAAUCAGGACACAAAUGGAAAAAAUGAUGAAACUCCUGAAUAGAAACAAACCAAUAAAGAAACAACAGCAAUACACAGAACUCCAAUGCCGAAGAAGAAAGUGAAGAACAAAAUGAAGGCAUUUCACCCCUAAACUUUGAAGAGAAUAAAAACAAAGAUCACUUAACAUUUUUAUUUGAAGUUUGGUUUUUACAAAAUACACCUUUGGAUGAAAAUGAGGCUGACCAAAUCUCAAAGGGUUUCUUUUCUCCUUUUAAUGUUUAAGCACUGCUGGAGUUCAGGGUACUUUCUGGUGAGGCAGUCCUGAGAAAGUUCUUUGAAACACAUUAUUCAGUUUGAAAACACAACAGAAACAGGUGCUUGAGAUCUACAAGAGCUGCACUGGGAAGAAACGGGGAAGUGAGAGAUUCACUUCUUUCCUACUGUCGCUAAUAUGGAGGACAUAGCUGAGAAAAAGCAAUCACCGGUAUUGGUUAGGCUCACUGAUGAAUCUCAGGGCCAGAGAGAAGGAUGUGGGAUUUCUCCCUCCUGAAGCUGAUGCAGGAAGUUUGGCUGUGAAAUGUCACACUACAAUAACUGAGAAGUGGGAAAUGAACAAGGAAUUCUGGUGUGACCUGGCUUAGAUUAUAUCUAGUAGACUUUCUUUCAAAAUGGCAAUCAUGGUAACUAGAACUUUAGAGAAAUAAUCCCAACAUAUCUCCACACCUUGCUCUUCCUCUGCCUUAAAUAUGCAGAAGUCGAAAUCAGUUUUCUGUUGUGGGAGGAUCAUCUAUUGCUUUGGGAGCAAUUAAAGAUGUUCUUUUUUUCUGUUGAUCACAAGAGUUUUAGAGCUCAAUAAUAUAAUGUCUGUCCUCUUUCAGAACAACAAAGAAAAGGCAAAUGAACUGAAGGAAAUCUGCUAUUCACAAUGUACAGGCAUGCAUGAUGCUUUUGAAAUGUUUUUGCUAGCAAUUGUUUUGUGUUUAGAUGAUAUAAAGGUUGACACAAAUGUUAGAUGGAAUACCUUUAUAGCUGGUUGAGCUUUUGUUCUCUGUAGUGCAUUAAUGUUUUGAUUUAAUUAUAAAUUGUUGUUCAUAAAAGUAUCCUAUUUUCAGAAAGACCAUCUGGAAAAAAUCUCCAGGGCCACACCUCUGAUGUCUUCUUUGCAAUAGGCAGCUUGACUGCAGCGUUGCAUUGCAGAAAGAGAUUGAAGAUAUUUACAUUUAUUGUAAAUUUUGAUUUGAGGAAGCCGCAGGGUUGACAACCAUACUUGAUGCUGAAAUGCUGGGAAAUUCCUCAAGGCUCAGCAAGAUAAUCUAGAAUCUAAAUUAACCACAGAGAAUUACUAUAAAGAAAUAGUGCUCCACCAUGAGGCACAUUAUCCAUGACCUUAAAGACAUUUUCUUAGAACAGUACCUCACAGUUCCUAAAUGUUCUUAAACAGUCAAAAGCAGUUCACUGGUGGCCUCGGUCAUAGAACAGCUUACACUGAACACCAUGCCAAUGUGUACUCAGCUGACUUAUUCAAUCCUGAUACAUUCUCUGCCAACCUUCAUUGUUGGAGGUUAAGGCCAAAACGCAGAAAAAAAGACAAAGAGCUUCCACCCACCACGUAUAAAACUCCCUAUUUAUCUCACUUAAAGUUUUUUUUUCUUACUGUCUACAUGUUACUGAAGGUCCUGUGUAUUCUUCCUUUUGAUGAAGUUUGAGAAUGAAAGCUAUGAAAUUGGAUGAAAGUGUCUCAAACCACAACUAAGAAGCACUUCAACGGACCAGAGGUCAAGUAACUUUACACUGCUUAACAUAAAUGUUGAUAUAAAAUAGGAUCUUAAUUUAACAGUAGACACAUAUAUAAAAAAGCUAUACAUAAAGCCAGAACUUCCUACAAGUACCUAAAAACCACUGAAAAUGCCUAAUAGUUUUUCUUUUUAUAUCUGAUAUUUAGAGGAAAAGCUGUGAGUUGUAUUUUGGCCACUUAAUCACUGAA
rnacentral:lncRNA from 1 species